CCUACGGGAGGCAGCAGUGAGGAAUAUUGGUCAAUGGACGAGAGUCUGAACCAGCCAAGUAGCGUGAAGGAUGACUGCCCUAUGGGUUGUAAACCUCUUUUAUAUGGGAAUAAAAUGUUCCACGUGUGGGAUUUUGUAUGUACCCUAUGAAUAAGGAUCGGCUAACUCCGUGCCAGCAGUCGCGGUAAUUCGGAGGAUCCGAGCGUUAUCCGGAUUUAUUGGGUUUAAAGGGGGCGUAGGUGGAUUGUUAAGUCAGUUGUGAAAGUUGGCGGCUCAACCGUAAAAUUGCAGUUGAAACUGGCAGUCUUGAGUACAGUAGAAGUGGGCGGAAUGCGUGGUGUAGCGGUGAAAUGCUUAGAUAUCACGAAGAACUCCGAUUGCGAAGGCAGCUCACUGGACUGCAACUGACACUGAGGCUCGAAAGUGUGGGUAUCGAACAGGAUUAGAUACCCCUGUAGUC
rnacentral:rRNA from 1 species